rnacentral:rRNA from 1 species
GACGAACCGAGCGAACGUUGUUCGGAAUCACUGGGCUUAAAGGGCGCGUAGGCGGGCCGCCGCGUCCGGGGUGAAAUCCUCCCGCUCAACGGGAGAACGGCCUCGGAUACGGGCGGCCUGGAGGGGGGUAGGGGCGUGCGGAACUGUGGGUGGAGCGGUGAAAUGCGUUGAUAUCCACAGGAACUCCGGUGGCGAAGGCGGCACGCUGGACCCCACCUGACGCUGAGGAGCGAAAGCGUGGGGAGCGAACAGG